rnacentral:rRNA from 1 species
UACGAAGGGGGCUAGCGUUGCUCGGAAUCACUGGGCGUAAAGCGCACGUAGGCGGCUUGUUAAGUCAGGGGUGAAAUCCUGGAGCUCAACUCCAGAACUGCCUUUGAUACUGGCGAGCUUGAGUUCGGGAGAGGUGAGUGGAACUGCGAGUGUAGAGGUGAAAUUCGUAGAUAUUCGGCAAGAACACCAGUGGCGAAGGCGGCUCACUG